AUGGAAGACCAGGACUGCUAAAAUCACAAAUAACUGGAAAUAUAUGAGGUUUAAUUAAAUAAUUUAUACGCUACAAAGAAAGAAAGGAAAUGGCGUUUUAAUUAUAUUUUAUCAUUUUAUCAAGUGAAACCCUUUGAAAAUGGCUAAAAGUGUUGUUUAGGGACUGAUGAACAAGAAGUUGAGCUGGUCUGCUGACAACAAUGUGAUUUGACAAAUGUAAUUGCUUUAGGAUAGAUUACUUUAUAAAGGGUGGAUAAAUGCACCACAAAGUUAUCAUCUUUCCAUGUGGAUGGAAAUAAAGGGAUUUCUAAAAACACGAUAAACUGAUAAUCAGAGGCAUGGCUUACAGCUCUGCUGCAUAUAUGUGAGCAUAGAAUGUGUGUCGGGCAUUUCCCCUACAUCCAAUCCCGCCCAAACAUUUUGUCCAAAUGCAUUCAAUGUUUCAAACAUAUACACCACUGUUAGUCUCUAUCUUUAACAAGUCAUUAUAAAUUUGUGGUAAACAAUGAUUUUCUCAGAUCCUAAAGAUGAUCAUAAAGUUGUGCUGCACUGUUUGAACCUACAGACUUGUUCUGCAGUGGUGUCUUACCCUUACAACUUAUGGUUGUUAUGGGUCUGUGGCUUUACCUCCUUGAGGUGGUUGAAUUAAUGAAGUGCAAAGAAUGCAUACAGAUCGGGGAUUGAUGAUCUGAAAAAGGAUUUCAGGUCUGGUCCAGCUCUUCCUGCUGUGCACCAGCUUAAAAGGCAUUCAAAGUAUAUCCCAGUACCCUGUCAUGCUGAUGUUAAACUAGAAUUUUAACAUUUGUUUCAUUCUAUGCUUUUCAAAGCUUAAAGGUAUCUGUUAUUUUAAUGUCUUUACUUUGAUUUCCUGUAAAGCACUUUGUACCUUGUGUAUUAAUGGUCCUGUAUAAAUGAACUUGCCUUUUCUCAAUUGACAACAGGCAAGAAGCUGAACUAGUGAGCAACUUAUGCCUUUUACCCUCUUAGAGUAGAACACCAGUGGUGUAAAUAUGAAAAGAAAAUGUCAACAAAACAUGUAAAUAAAUGGGGAUGUUGAAAUAAGUGGGUGUAAAAGCCUACAGAAUAAAUAUUGAAAUGAAAAUAUAGAAGGUGCAAGAAAAAUAAUAUAAAUUUGUUGAAAAACUAACAGAAGAAAGUUUGAGCUAAAACACAAAUUAAAUAAGCAGUGAUAUUAAAUCUUAGUUAAAUUCUGCUCAUUCACCAUUAUUUAACUGAGCCUGAAAUUUCUUUAUUUAUUUCUGAUUUUGGUAGUCCUUCACACAUUAUAAAGAGGGACACUGAGGGCACAGAGAGCUGUUACUAUAUGUGUAAAGAGAUAGUCUUGACAAAUGUUAUGUAUCUCUGUCUUUACAUAAUGCCAAACUUGGCCUUGUUAAAUAAAAUCCAAUAUAUAACAAAGACUUGUAAUUUAAAACAAAAUACACUGUAUUUCCCAUUUUCUGCAGGCCAAAGAGUUAUCUGCUAAAAUGAUUAAAUACACAAGAACUGAUUCAAACCAGGGAGGAGAUAAAGGUAUAAAGAGGUGGUAUUGGCCACUUGUUAAGUGUGUGACUGUCAAAGUGCCACAUAACAGUUUUCUCCAGCACGUCACUCUUGUGGACCUUCCUGGAAAUGGAGACCGUAAUAAGAGCAGAGAUACAAUGUGGAAAGGGGUUGUUGGAAACUGUUCUACCGUGUGGAUUGUGACUGAAAUCAACCGAGCAGCAGCAGACAGAGAAUCCUGGGAGAUCCUGAAAAGUGUCAGUAGUCUCCUUGGAAACGCUGGCGAGUGCAGACAUAUUCACUUCAUCUGCACAAAGUCUGAUGUUAUUGAAGAUUCACUUGAUCACUCAGCUGAUGUUCAGGCCUUAACCCUCUGAAGAAACACAGAUGCAAAGGCAGCAGUGGGCAAGGAAAUCAACAAGCUACACAAGAUUAAGAAACACUUCAGUGAUGAAUGUUUCCAAGUGUUCACAGUGAGCUCCAAGGAGUUUCUGAAACGAAAAGUUCACAGUCCAGAGAAUACUG